AUAUCUCUCUGUACGGGAAGGAUGAGAAGCUUCGACUAAGGUUCGAUUCGAGCGCAGCGAGAAAGCGUUGCCGCAGGCAACGACCCGAAGGGCGCAACCCGGCG
rnacentral:sRNA from 1 species